ACCAUCCAAGCUGCAGCGACACGUCGUCCCCGAGAAGCACGAAAAAGUCCAUGCCAUCAGCGAAGGCCAGCAUGCACAGCUCGUUCACGAUCCCGAUUAUGUUGGACGGAUUUGUCGAUGCGAAUAUUCGCCGCGUCACGCCGUGGGGGUGCGUGGCCUGCUCCAACUCUUCCUGAUCGAUCGGCAGCAGCACAGUAUCGUCGUCGUCGAUGCCGAGGUAAAUGCGUGACCCAUCCGGAAGCGAAUCAGCAACUGCGCGGAUCUUCGUGAGUAUUGCCGUCUUCGUGGCCCGUGUUGAACCCUCCUUGGACGUCACAGGGAGCAGCGCAGCUAACGCCAUAGUUGUCGACAUAAACCAAGGCGCGAACACGACACACGCUUGCUGCCGAGUUUCAGACACACUCACGCGAUUGCAGGAUAUCGCAGAGUGGGACUGGCACCGGAUGGCGCGGGGAUGCCACUUGACGGUCAGUGAUAGUCACAACGACCGAACUAACACGCGGAUACGCGCGCGGGGUGGCUAGGGCGCCCGGGUCUGACCAAC
rnacentral:lncRNA from 1 species